rnacentral:rRNA from 1 species
AGAACGAACGCUGGCGGCAUGCCUAACACAUGCAAGUCGAACGCGUGUAGCAAUACACGAGUGGCGGACGGGUGAGUAACGCGUGGGAACCUGCCCUGGAGUGGGGGAUAACCGAUGGAAACGUCGGCUAAUACCGCAUACGUCCUGAGGGAGAAAGAUUUAUCGCUCUAGGAGGGGCCCGCGUCGGAUUAGCUAGUUGGUGAGGUAACGGCUCACCAAGGCGAUGAUCCGUAGCUGGUCUGAGAGGAUGAUCAGCCACACUGGGACUGAGACACGGCCCAGACUCCUACGGGAGGCAGCAGUGGGGAAUAUUGGACAAUGGGGGCAACCCUGAUCCAGCAAUGCCGCGUGAGUGAUGAAGGCCUUAGGUGUAAAGCUCUUUCGGCGGGACGAUGAUGACGGUACCGCAGAAGAAGCCCGGCUAACUUCGUGCCAGCAGCCGC